GAGGAGGAGCCCGGAGAUGGGUACUGAGACAAGGACCCAGGCCCUAUGGGGCGCAGCAGGCGCGAAACCUCUGCAAUAGGCGAAAGCCUGACAGGGUUAUUCUGAGUGACUUUCGCUAAGAAAGUCUUUUGACACCUCUAAAAAUGGUGUAGAAUAAGGGGUGGGCAAGUCUGGUGUCAGCCGCCGCGGUAAUACCAGCACCCCGAGUGGUCGGGACGAUUAUUGGGCCUAAAGCAUCCGUAGCCGGUUUUACAAGUCCUCCGUUAAAUCCAACUGCUUAACAGAUGGGCCGCGGAGGAUACUAUAAGACUAGGAGGCAGGAGAGGCAAGCGGUACUCAGUGGGUAGGGGUAAAAUCCGUUGAUCCAUUGAAGACCACCAGUGGCGAAGGCGGCUUGCCAGAAUGCGCUCGACGGUGAGGGAUGAAAGCUGGGGGAGCAAACCGGAUUAGAUACCCGGGUAGUCCCAGCUGUAAACGAUGCAGACUCGGUGAUGGACUAGCUUCAUGCUAGUCCAGUGCCGCAGGGAAGCCGUUAAGUCUGCCGCCUGGGUAGUACGGUCGCAAGACUAAAACUUAA
rnacentral:rRNA from 1 species